GACGAACGCUGGCGGCGUGCCUAAUACAUGCAAGUCGAACGCUGAAGGAGGAGCUUGCUCUUCUGGAUGAGUUGCGAACGGGUGAGUAACGCGUAGGUAACCUGCCUGGUAGCGGGGGAUAACUAUUGGAAACGAUAGCUAAUACCGCAUAACAGUAGAUGUUGCAUGACAUUUGCUUAAAAGGUGCAAUUGCACCACUACCAGAUGGACCUGCGUUGUAUUAGCUAGUUGGUGGGGUAACGGCUCACCAAGGCGACGAUACAUAGCCGACCUGAGAGGGUGAUCGGCCACACUGGGACUGAGACACGGCCCAGACUCCUACGGGAGGCAGCAGGAGGGAAUCUUCGGCAAUGGACGGAAGUCUGACCGAGCAACGCCGCGGGAGGGAAGAAGGGUUUCGGAUCGUAAAGCUCUGUUGUAAGAGAAGAACGAGUGUGAGAGUGGAAAGUUCACACUGUGACGGUAGCUUACCAGAAAGGGACGGCUAACUACGUG
rnacentral:rRNA from 1 species